CGUGAUUGGCUAUUGAGUCCACCUGCUCGUUGAGGCGCAACGGAACGUUAUUUUGCCCCUAGAAUUAGCCGAGUAGAGGUGUACAACCGUCUUGAAGGAGCGAUGAUUGCAGUCAUACCCUGCCGAGGAGGUGGUGGUGGUAGAUGUUCCAGUUGUGCUACUUGAGUUAGCAAGGUCUGAUGGCCCUAUCCGGCAGAAGAUGAGCGUGUGGAGAGCUGCGGGGUGGGCGAAACAGCAAUGGUGAAGUAUCUAUUUGUGAAGAAAGGAGCAUUUGUGGAGGGCAACCAACGCCACACUGCAGAGUAAUGGAAGAGGCUGUGACCUGCAGUUUCGCAGGUGACACGCUUGAGUACCCUCGACGUGGAUGACGUUGGUACCAUCCUGUGUAGUUACUCUAGGGACACAACCUCCAGCUGUUGAAGGAUCAAGUUUGUGUUCCAUAGAAGAACCGACUACGGAAGGAGCACAAGGUACAGCAUUGGUGAAGAAGUAAAAUGGAUGGAGCCCGCGGGGAGAGUACUGCGCCCAUGAGGUCGACAGAGAUUCCUAGUUACAGCGGGCAGCCGCCGCGUUCGCCCUUCGGUGUGUUCAGCGGGAACCCCCAAAGUGAUAAGCCUGUAGAUAGGCAAGAAAUAAUCGCAUGAAUUGUAUAUAGUGUAAUGAAAUGAAUGCAAGUUUAAUAUAGUACGUAUAGAUGUAGUUAUUAAUUGUAAAUCAUUAUAAAUAAUGGAUAUAUUAUUAUUAUGGCGUAAAUCGUUAUCAAAUAAAUAGUUAAUAAUAUAUAAUAAAAUAAAUGUUAGCAUUAAAAAAAAAUAUAUAUGAAUAAUACCUUUGACAAAUGUUUGACUUGCACAAUAGUUACUGUGUGAGGAAAUCCCGUAUGUUACUGAAUGUGAGGGACAUGGCCAAGAUAGUUUUAAUAUUAAUCAUGGAAGAAAGUAUAGUGAGAAUAUUAUGUUUGAGCGUUAAUGUGUUAAAAUUUGUUGGGGUUGAUGUACAAUAAUAUACCUAGAUAGUACUAUAUUAACGUGAAAAUUGAAUGUUGUAUAUGUGAAGUUUUGGAGCUUGAAUGGGUAGAAAUACCCAAAGGUACUCGUGAGUUUAUAAUAUGAUUUAGUUCAGUUGUCUCCAAUAACAUAGUUGAAGUUUAAUACAUAAGGUUGUUUGUAGUGUCAACUUAUGAAUAAGUAUAGAAACUUCAAUAAUUAGUGUAGCACUUAAAAUUGAGUGAUAUCAUUAUGAUAGACAGUAUAGCUCGGAGCUACAAGAAAUGUUCCCAAAGAGUCUAACAUUUAUAUGGUGUGCUUACUAUAUUAAACAGGAUUCUUGUAUUGUGUAUUUGUAGGGCCGUUUGAGGUUCUGCAAGUAGAGUAUAAAUACCCUAAAGUACUGUAUCCCUUUGAGAUGUAUUUAUUAAU